AUUGAACGCUGGCGGCAUGCCUUACACAUGCAAGUCGAACGGUAACGCGGGGCAACCUGGCGACGAGUGGCGAACGGGUGAGUAAUGCAUCGGAACGUGCCCAGUAGUGGGGGAUAGCCCGGCGAAAGCCGGAUUAAUACCGCAUACGACCUACGGGUGAAAGGGGGGGAGCGCAAGACCUCUCGCUAUUGGAGCGGCCGAUGUCAGAUUAGGUAGUUGGUGGGGUAAAGGCCUACCAAGCCGACGAUCUGUAGCUGGUCUGAGAGGACGACCAGCCACACUGGGACUGAGACACGGCCCAGACUCCUACGGGAGGCAGCAGUGGGGAAUUUUGGACAAUGGGCGAAAGCCUGAUCCAGCCAUGCCGCGUGCGGGAAGAAGGCCUUCGGGUUGUAAACCGCUUUUGUCAGGGAAGAAAUCUUCUGGGUUAAUACCUCGGGAGGAUGACGGUACCUGAAGAAUAAGCACCGGCUAACUACGUGCCAGCAGCCGCGGUAAAAC
rnacentral:rRNA from 1 species